CUAAACCCUACAAGAAUAUUUUCAAAAAAUUUCAUCAUACAAUUUGUGAUGAGCUGAUAGGCACUAAUCAGUCCAAGCUUUUAAAGGUUGGUAGGAAUUGUUGCAACGUGAGGACAACGGAACAAAGGUCAGGUGGUUUAUUGUUUUGGGGUGUCUUUUAUACCUUUAUAAAACUGAAUGUAGGCAGUUAAGGUCGAACACGUGGGCAAUAAAGCGUGGAUUGUAUCAAACAAGUAAAAGGCAAGU
rnacentral:sRNA from 12 species